rnacentral:rRNA from 1 species
CACGUGGGUAACCUGCCCAAGAGAUCGGGAUAACACCUGGAAACAGAUGCUAAUACCGGAUAACAACAGAUGAUGCCUAUCAACUGUUUAAAAGAUGGUUCUGCUAUCACUCUUGGAUGGACCUGCGGUGCAUUAGCUAGUUGGUAGGGUAACGGCCUACCAAGGCGAUGAUGCAUAGCCGAGUUGAGAGACUGAUCGGCCACAUUGGGACCGAGACACGGCCCAAACUCCUACGGGAGGCAGCAGCC